ensembl:misc_RNA Y_RNA Y RNA
AGCUGGUGCAAGUGCAGUGGUGUUUACAACGAAUCGAUCACUACCAGUUACAGUAGUGUAACUGUAGUUACACUUUGUAGGAACUUUGUUCCUUCCCUAUUCCCAUUGAUUCACUUGACUGGCCUUAA